UACGGAGGAUCCAAGCGUUAUCCGGAUUUACUGGGCGUAAAGGGCGCGUAGGCGGUCGUGACAAGUCACUUGUGAAAUCUCCGGGCUUAACUCGGAACGGUCAAGUGAUACUGUCGGACUAGAGUACAGAAGGGGCAACUGGAAUUCUCGGUGUAGCGGUGAAAUGCGUAGAUAUCGAGAGGAACACCUGCGGCGAAGGCGGGUUGCUGGGCUGAUACUGACGCUGAGGCGCGAAAGCCAGGGGAGCGAACGGG
rnacentral:rRNA from 1 species